GUGCAACAUGGUUAUGGGUACUACAGUGGAUGUGAGUGUGUAGACCUUGUACAAUAGAGCUUAUAGGCUAAUGAGAAGACAGGAAGAAACAACAGGAACACAUAUAGCUGGAAUGCAGAUGGGAUCUGUGCUACUUACGCUAGCCAUGGGAUGAUUAGAACAAGAUAAGAGACAUGAGGAAGACUUCUUCAAGGAGGUGCUCAAGCCAUGUUUUGGAAAAGAGAACUCAAGGUCUGGCAGGGAGAAAGGAGCAAGGCUGUCCAGCAUCGACCCCACUGAUGGAUGCUAGUAGUCCUCCCCGCCAGCACUCAACAUUGUGACAGUCAAAAACAUCCUCUCUACAUUUUCAAUGCCCCUGUUGGGGUAGCAGGACUCCCACUGAGAGACCCCAGUAGAGAUGGUCCCCAAGCAUGCUAACCAUGAAGCAGUGAUAUCGCACAGCACCUGCUUCCAGCAGCCCGGAGCCAAGGGGCAAAAUGGAAAGAGUCAGCAUUUCUCUUUUAGGUUCUCUGCCUCUCUAGUGUGUAAGCUUUUAACCCCCACUACGCGUCUUCGUUCCAUUCUCCUCCAGUACCCAUUUUAGUGAGCUUCUGUUGUUUCUGCCCCAGGAUAUCUCUAACAAAGAACCAAGAUAUUUAUCAGGAGAACUUCUCCCACUCUCCUCUCAGUCCUUGGGGAUCUGAUGAAAUGACACUUCUUGGACUGUGGGGUGGAGCAUGUGAGUCACACCUGGGCCAAUCAUUUUAUCCUAUUUCGUGACCACAUGACCAAUUCAGGGAUGGGAACAUGACCCAGGUGGAACCUAUGAGAGGCAGUGAGAUCUUUCCAGGUACUUCCAGGAAAGAGGGUCUCACUUUUCCCUCUAUAAUGUACACCAGAGAAGGUGUGUGGCUGAAGCUGCUACCAUCCUCUUGUGGCUACAGGAAGCUGGGAUUAAUUGUAACAACGCAAUUGGCAGAUCUGAAAGCUGAGAACAAAAAAGCAAAAAACCUGUGUUCUAAUAACACUAUAUAUGAGCCCUAAAUCCAGCUAUGCCUGGAGCCAGUCUUACUGUGGAAUUUUUAACCUAAGCUGGUUGAUAAAUUAUCUUUUCAUUUAAGACAAAGUCAUGGCAGAUUUUUUGCCACUUGUGAGAAGAAGACAGAUACACCCAAGAAGCUCCUGUUCUUUCUCAUUAACCCAUAUUAAAACCCACUUUCGGGAAAGGA
rnacentral:lncRNA from 1 species